AAUGAACGCUGGCGGCAGGCCUAACACAUGCAAGUCGAGCGGAGAGGCGGACGGGCGAGUAAUGCAUAGGAAUCUAACUGGUAGAGGGGGCUAACGUACGGACAGGGGAGCUAAUCUAGCAUCCUAUUAGCUGCGCCUAGGUCGGAUUAGCUCGUUGGUGGGGUAAAGGCCUACCAAGGCGACGAUCCAUAACUGGUCUGAGAGGAUGAUCGGUCACACUGGAACUGAGACACGGUCCAGACUCCUACGGGAGGCAGCAGUAGGGAAUAUUGGGCAAUGGGCGAAAGCCUGAUCCAGCCAUGCCGCGUGUGUGAAGAAGGUCUUCGGAUUGUAAAGCUCUUUUAUUUGGGAGGCGUUACCAACAGAGUAAGCACCGGCUAACUUCGUGCCAGCAGCCGUGGUAAUUC
rnacentral:rRNA from 1 species